rnacentral:tRNA from 1 species
GCGGGUGUAGCUCAGUGGUUUAGAGCGAAGACACCUUGCCAAAGUCUAGGUCGUGGGUUCAAUUUCCAUCACCCGCUCCA